rnacentral:rRNA from 1 species
UACGUAGGGUGCAAGCGUUGUCCGGAUUUAUUGGGCGUAAAGAGCUCGUAGGUGGUUCGGUAAGUCGGAUGUGAAAUCUCCAGGCUCAACCUGGAGGGGUCAUUCGAUACUGCCGUGACUAGAGUUCGGUAGGGGAGUGUGGAAUUCCUGGUGGAGCGGUGAAAUGCGCAGAUAUCAGGAGGAACACCCGUAGCGAAGGCGGCACUCUGGGCCGAUACUGACACUGAGGAGCGAAAGCGUGGGGAGCGAACAGG